UGAGGAAUAUUGGGCAAUGCCCGAAAGGGUGACCCAGCAACGCCGCGUGGAGGAUGAAGGUCGUAAGAUUGUAAACUCCUGUUAGAGGGGAAGAAUAACUAAGUUUGGAGCUUAGUAUGACUGUACCAUCAGAGAAAGCCCCGGCUAACUACGUGCCAGCAGCCGCGGUAAUACGUAGGGGGCAAGCGUUGUCCGGAUUUACUGGGUGUAAAGGGCGCGCAGGCGGAAUGGAAAGUCAGUGGUGAAAUCCUACAGCUUAACUGUAGAACUGCCUUUGAUACUUUCAUUCUUGAGUUCGGGAGAGAGAGACGGAAUUCCAGGUGUAGUGGUGAAAUACGUAGAUAUCUGGAAGAACACCAGUUGCGAAGGCGGUCUCUUGGUCCGAUACUGACGCUGAGGCGCGAAAGCGUGGGGAGCAAACA
rnacentral:rRNA from 1 species